GUGGUUCUCCUAAAUUGGAGAGAAUUUUGAGUCUUCUUACUUUUCCUCGAUUGAAACUUCAAUAGAGGUCCCAUGUUUCUCAAAAAACUUCAUCGGCUUAGGCGUACUUCUCAGCCCGAUCCAGCAUCUCCGAAAAGUCCUUUAGACAUUUCUUCUCCAAAGAAUAAAAAAGAGAAUUUUUCUAAAGUCCACCCUUCAGGGCGGUCAUAGAGACCGACUGGUUCAAGUCGUGCACUUUCAAGAAGGUCACAUUGAACC
rnacentral:lncRNA from 1 species